rnacentral:rRNA from 1 species
GAACGCUAGCUACAGGCUUAACACAUGCAAGUCGAGGGGCAGCAUGGUCUUAGCUUGCUAAGGCCGAUGGCGACCGGCGCACGGGUGAGUAACACGUAUCCAACCUGCCGUCUACUCUUGGACAGCCUUCUGAAAGGAAGAUUAAUACAAGAUGGCAUCAUGAGUCCGCAUGUUCACAUGAUUAAAGGUAUUCCGGUAGACGAUGGGGAUGCGUUCCAUUAGAUAGUAGGCGGGGUAACGGCCCACCUAGUCUUCGAUGGAUAGGGGUUCUGAGAGGAAGGUCCCCCACAUUGGAACUGAGACACGGUCCAAACUCCUACGGGAGGCAGCAGUGAGGAAUAUUGGUCAAUGGGCGAGAGCCUGAACCAGCCAAGUAGCGUGAAGGAUGACUGCCCUAUGGGUUGUAAACUUCUUUUAUAAAGGAAUAAAGUCGGGUAUGGAUACCCGUUUGCAUGUACUUUAUGAAUAAGGAUCGGCUAACUCCGUGCCAGCAGCCGCGGUAAUACGGAGGAUCCGAGCGUUAUCCGGAUUUAUUGGGUUUAAAGGGAGCGUAGAUGGAUGUUUAAGUCAGUUGUGAAAGUUUGCGGCUCAACCGUAAAAUUGCAGUUGAUACUGGAUAUCUUGAGUGCAGUUGAGGCAGGCGGAAUUCGUGGUGUAGCGGUGAAAUGCUUAGAUAUCACGAAGAACUCCGAUUGCGAAGGCAGCCUGCUAAGCUGCAACUGACAUUGAGGCUCGAAAGUGUGGGUAUCAAACAGGAUUAGAUACCCUGGUAGUCCACACGGUAAACGAUGAAUACUCGCUGUUUGCGAUAUACUGCAAGCGGCCAAGCGAAAGCGUUAAGUAUUCCACCUGGGGAGUACGCCGGCAACGGUGAAACUCAAAGGAAUUGACGGGGGCCCGCACAAGCGGAGGAACAUGUGGUUUAAUUCGAUGAUACGCGAGGAACCUUACCCGGGCUUAAAUUGCAGAUGAAUUACGGUGAAAGCCGUAAGCCGCAAGGCAUCUGUGAAGGUGCUGCAUGGUUGUCGUCAGCUCGUGCCGUGAGGUGUCGGCUUAAGUGCCAUAACGAGCGCAACCCUUGUUGUCAGUUACUAACAGGUUCCGCUGAGGACUCUGACAAGACUGCCAUCGUAAGAUGUGAGGAAGGUGGGGAUGACGUCAAAUCAGCACGGCCCUUACGUCCGGGGCUACACACGUGUUACAAUGGGGGGUACAGAGGGCCGCUACCACGCGAGUGGAUGCCAAUCCCCAAAACCUCUCUCAGUUCGGACUGGAGUCUGCAACCCGACUCCACGAAGCUGGAUUCGCUAGUAAUCGCGCAUCAGCCACGGCGCGGUGAAUACGUUCCCGGGCCUUGUACACACCGCCCGUCAAGCCAUGGGAGCCGGGGGUACCUGAAGUGCGUAACCGCGAGGAGCGCCCUAGGGUAAAACUGGUGACUGGGGC